rnacentral:rRNA from 1 species
AUUGAACGCUGGCGGCAUGCCUUACACAUGCAAGUCGAACGGUAACAGGUCUUCGGAUGCUGACGAGUGGCGAACGGGUGAGUAAUACAUCGGAACGUGCCCGAUCGUGGGGGAUAACGAAGCGAAAGCUUUGCUAAUACCGCAUACGAUCUACGGAUGAAAGCAGGGGACCGCAAGGCCUUGCGCGAACGGAGCGGCCGAUGGCAGAUUAGGUAGUUGGUGGGAUAAAGGUUGCCAAGCCGACGAUCUGUAGCUGGUCUGAGAGGACGACCAGCCACACUGGGACUGAGACACGGCCCAGACUCCUACGGGAGGCAGCAGUGGGGAAUUUUGGACAAUGGGCGAAAGACUGAUCCAGCCAUGCCGCGUGCAGGAUGAAGGCCUUCGGGUUGUAAACUGCUUUUGUACGGAACGAAAAGACUCUGGUUAUUACCUGGGGUCCAUGACGGUACCGUAAGAAUAAGCACCGGCUAACUACGUGCCAGCAGCCGCAGUAAAAC